UUUUUUCUUGAGGCUUCAGGUAUAUGAAAAUAAAAAGAUGACAAAUCAGGAUACAUAUAUUAAAUGUUUUCAUUUAACAAACUGACAAUUUUAAUACACAUACAAAGCAGUAUAAUUGCACUCUUCAUAAGGUAAUUAUCAUAUUUUAAAAGAAUUAUUUCACUGCACAAUAGACACCAUGAUGAAACAGUGCACACAUCUGAAAGUGUAGAAUGGAUGCCUUCUUUCUAACCUCUUUCUAAACUAUCUGUGUAAUUGGAUGGGAGAAUCCAGAAAUUUAAAUUCGACUACUUCUGUGCACAUGCUGACCAAGUACCUUUCUCUCCCUUGCUUUUAUCUUUGCCUUUCUUCCAUUGCAAAACCUCGGGGAUGGCAGAAUUGUAGGAGUCUCCAGAAGCACAAAAUCAGGACCACCCUCAGACCCUCUAUUUGGGUUUCAGUGUCAGCACAGCAUAGGGCUGGGCAGGAUAGGGAACAUUAGUUGGGCAACUGCAAACUAAAAAGGAGGGUUUGCUCAAGGAAGCAUUAACGGCUGUUUCAAGGGAACAAAAUCUAAGAGCAAACCAGGUCAGAAAGUAGAAGAGGUCCACAAUACUUUAUUUUCAAGGCCACACUCAAAGUUCAAGACAAAGCUUGAAUGAAGGGUCAAGGAGUGUGAGUAGCAGGAAGGCAAGUCAGAUGAGAUACGAGCGGCACUGUGAGAACUCCACAAAGGGCCUGGCCUUUCCACUCAUUGUUACUGGCCCCUUUAUUAGGCCAUUCUUACAUUGCUAUAAAGAAAUACCUGAGACUAGGUAAUUUAUAAAGAAAAGAGGUUUAACUGGCUCAUGGUUCUGCAGGCUGUACAGGAAGCAUAGCACUGGGCAUCUACUUGACUUCUGAUGAGGACUCAGGAAACUUACAAACAUGGCAGAAGGCAAAGGGGCAGCUGGCACAUCACAUGGCAAAAGCGUGAGAGUUCAGAGGAGGUGCCACACACUUUUAAACGACCAGAUCUCACAGCACCUCACUAUCAUGAAGACAGCCUUAAGCCAUGAGGAAUCUACCUCCAUGACCCAAACACUUCCUACCAGUCCCCAGCUUCAGCAUUGGAAAUCUCACAAAUAAAUGUGAGAUUUCUGUGGGGACAUGUAUCCAAACUAUAUCAGCCCCACUGGAAUAAGGAGUUCUCAUUACUUCCUAUCAUCCUGAACUUGGAUAGAGAAAAGGUUGGUUCAGAGGGAAGGCCAGAGUUGGUAGAAAGUAAACGAACAAAAUUAUUAUCUAAUUUUUCAUCUCUUCCCUCCCUCAAGACUAAUAAUAACAUUUAUUACUCAGGAGCUGAUCACAUAAAAUCCUCUCUCUUUGGCCACUCACUGGACAUUUGUUCUCCAUUGUCCCUCUUCCAGAGUAAAAUGGGAAGAAAGAGGGUGAAAUCUAAACCAGUUAGAAUCUGACUUGUUAGGAAGGCUAGGAAACUAUUAGCUAUAAUCAUUUUUUUAAAUCAUAUGGAUUUAAUUUCACCACUAUAAUUGAUCUUAUUAAUUCAAGUGUUUGAGAACUGACAGUUGCAUACGUUUUUCUGAACAAAGAACUACAGUAGUCAAUACUGGCCUCUUCUUACAUAAGCCUCAGUCUUGGACUGCAGACUUCCUACUAGAUUUCUAGCCCUGAAAUGUCAUGCAAAACCAGUAAGUAUGUGCAUUUCUCUCAUUUUUUCUAGGAUGGAUGCCUGCAGGUUACACUACAUCCUUAGAACAGGUUUGUGACCCCAAAACUAUAAAAAACAUCUUGCUUUAUAGCCUCAUCUAUACUCUCUGCCC
ensembl:lncRNA